rnacentral:rRNA from 1 species
UACGGAGGGUCCAAGCGUUAUCCGGAAUCAUUGGGUUUAAAGGGCGCGCAGGCGGUAAAGUAAGUUAGUGGUGAAAUCCCUCGGCUCAACCGAGAAACUGCCAUUGAUACUGCUAUACUUGAAUAUAGUUGAAGUAGGCGGAAUGUGACAUGUAGCGGUGAAAUGCUUAGAUAUGUCACAGAACACCGAUAGCGAAGGCAGCUUACUAAACUAACAUUGACGCUCAUGCGCGAAAGCGUGGGGAGCGAACAGG